CCAGACUCCUACGGGAGGCAGCAGUGAGGAAUAUUGGUCAAUGGGAGAGAUCCUGAACCAGCCAAGCCGCGUGAGGGAAGACGGCCCUAUGGGUUGUAAACCUCUUUUGUCGGAGAACAAAACCCGGGACGUGUCCCGGACUGCGUGUAUCCGAAGAAAAAGCAUCGGCUAACUCCGUGCCAGCAGCCGCGGUAAUACGGAGGAUGCGAGCGUUAUCCGGAUUUAUUGGGUUUAAAGGGUGCGCAGGCGGAAGAUCAAGUCAGCGGUAAAAUUUCGGGGCUCAACCCCGUCGUGCCGUUGAAACUGGCGUUCUUGAGUGAGCGAGAAGUAUGCGGAAUGCGUGGUGUAGCGGUGAAAUGCAUAGAUAUCACGCAGAACUCCGAUUGCGAAGGCAGCAUACCGGCGCUCAACUGACGCUCAUGCACGAAAGCGUGGGUAUCGAACAGGAUUAGAUACCCUAGUA
rnacentral:rRNA from 1 species